rnacentral:rRNA from 1 species
GGUUGCGAUCAUACCAGCACUAAUGCACCGGAUCCCAUAAGAACUCCGCAGUUAAGCGUGCUUGGGCGAGAGUAGUACUAGGAUGGGUGACCCCCCUGGGAAGUCCUCGUGUUGCAACCC